rnacentral:rRNA from 1 species
UACGUAGGGUGCAAGCGUUGUCCGGAAUUAUUGGGCGUAAAGGGCUCGUAGGCGGUUUGUCGCGUCGGGAGUGAAAACCGGGUGCUUAACACCUGGCUUGCUUUCGAUACGGGCAGACUAGAGGUAUGCAGGGGAGAACGGAAUUCCUGGUGUAGCGGUGAAAUGCGCAGAUAUCAGGAGGAACACCGGUGGCGAAGGCGGUUCUCUGGGCAUGUCCUGACGCUGAGGAGCGAAAGUGUGGGGAGCGAACAGG